rnacentral:rRNA from 1 species
GUCUUACCCUGCCCACUGAGAAAUUUAAGGGCCGCGGUAUUUUGACCGUGCAAAGGUAGCAUAAUCAUUAGUCUCUUAAUUAGGGACCUGGGAUGAAAGGUAGGACGAGGUACAAACUGUCUCCGUAAGAAAAGAGAAUUUAACCUCUCAGUUAAAAGGCUGAGAUAACGUUAGAGGACGAGAAGACCCUAUAGAACUUUAUAAAGUGAGGCCAUGUUUUUAGGAGAUGUUUUGCUUGUGUAAAAGCUUUAUUGUGUUGGGGUGAUAGGGUAAUAAAUGAACUUAUUUUAACAAGAACAUGGUAGUUGAAUGAAGGAUCCAUAUAUAAUGAAUAAAAGAUUAAGUUACCUUAGGGAUAACAGCGUAAUCCUUUUUGAGAGUUCAAAUCGAUAAAGGGGGGUUGCGACCUCCAUGUUGGAUUAAAGGUAAUUUUAGUGUAGCCGCUUAAAAUUGGGGUCUGUUCGAC